UACGGAGGAUCCGAGCGUUAUCCGGAUUUAUUGGGUUUAAAGGGAGCGUAGGUGGAUUGUUAAGUCAGUUGUGAAAGUUUGCGGCUCAACCGUAAAAUUGCAGUUGAAACUGGCAGUCUUGAGUACAGUAGAGGUGGGCGGAAUUCGUGGUGUAGUGGUGAAAUGCUUAGAUAUCACGAAGAACUCCGAUUGCGAAGGCAGCUCACUGGACUGCAACUGACACUGAGGCUCGAAAGUGUGGGUAUCAAACAGG
rnacentral:rRNA from 1 species